AAUACGAAGGGACCUAGCGUAGUUCGGAAUUACUGGGCUUAAAGAGUUCGUAGGUGGUUGAAAAAGUUAGUGGUGAAAUCCCAGAGCUUAACUCUGGAACUGCCAUUAAAACUUUUCAGCUAGAGUAUGAUAGAGGAAAGCAGAAUUUCUAGUGUAGAGGUGAAAUUCGUAGAUAUUAGAAAGAAUACCAAUUGCGAAGGCAGCUUUCUGGAUCAUUACUGACACUGAGGAACGAAAGCAUGGGUAACGAAGAGGAUUAGAUACCCUCGUAGUCCAUGCCGUAAACGAUGUGUGUUAGACGUUGGAAAUUUAUUUUCAGUGUCGCAGCGAAAGCGAUAAACACACCGCCUGGGGAGUACGACCGCAAGGUUAAAACUCAAAUGAAUUGACGGGGACCCGCACAAGUAGAGGAGCAUGUGGUUUAAUUCGAAGAUACGCGCAGAACCUUACCAACACUUGACAUGUUCGUCGCGACUCUAAGAGAUUAGAGUUUUCGGUUCGGCCGGACGAAACACAGGUGCUGCAUGGCUGUCGUCAGCUCGUGUCGUGAGAUGUUGGGUUAAGUCCCGCAACGAGCGCAACCCCCACUUUUAGUUGCCAUCAUUAAGUUGGGCACUCUGAAAGAACUGCCAGUGAUAAGCUGGAGGAAGGUGGGGAUGACGUCAAGUCCUCAUGGCCCUUACGUGUUGGGCUACACACGUGCUACAAUGGUAUCUACAACAGGAAGCAAGACUGCGAGGUCAAGCAAAUCCUUAAAAGAUACCUCAGUUCGGAUUGCACUCUGCAACUCGAGUGCAUGAAGCUGGAAUUACUAGUAAUCGUGGAUCAGCGUGCCACGGUGAAUGCGUUCCCGGGUCUUGUACACACCGCCCGUCACACCAUGGGAGUUGGUUCUACCUUAAGGCAAGGUUUAAAACCCUUGACCACGGUAUAGUCAGC
rnacentral:rRNA from 1 species